CUCCCAGGCCCAAGGUGCACUGAGCCCACAUGUAGCCUUGUGUCAUCAAAAUGGCUAUGCAUGUCAGCACAUGUGUCAUAGGUUCACGAUCAUAGUAAUAGUUAUCCUGGGGAGGAAAUUGAGUCUCAAAGGUUGUGUAUGUCAGACUUCAUACUAUAUCAGUGUCAGUAGUUAGCCACACUGUCUCACAUAUAGCCCAGUGGAAAGAAUUUUGAAUGUAGAUUUAGAGGACUUUGGUUCAAAUACCAUUUCUGCUACUCACAAUCUACAUGACCCUGGGCAAGUCAUUUAAAACAUUCAUUUUCUCCUCUGGUGUAAAUUAAGGGAUUAUAUCAAAGGCAUUUUAUAGCUGUAAAGUUAGUCUUAUGACAUUGUUUUUCAUGUCUAGGUUUUUAAAAAUCAUAGAUUUAUUUUAUUAUAAAUAUGUACUUUUAGACUGAAAAUAUGAAUGGCUUUAUUAUUUUAAAUGUAUAUUAUUUUAUUAUUUGGCAACACCUUUAUACUCACAUUCACUUUGAAGCAGUAUAAACUGAUUUUUCAAAACAUUCUCAGAGGUGUUUUUGCAUUUAUAUAUUUAUAUGGUUAUUGGAAGGAAUGAAUUAGUAAAGCUCAUUAGCUGAAAUUCUCCUGUUGUUUCUGCAUGCAUACCCACUGACUUAUUUUAGCCAACUACCUUCAAACAGAAUUACUAUUUAAAUUUCGUGAAGUACUCCAAUCAGGCCAGCAAGCCUGAAUUCCUUUACUCUUCACCAAUCAAAUUUGUAUGUGUAUGUUUGUUUAGGUGAGUGUGGGAGAUAAGAUAUAAAGAACACUCUCGUUUUCAAAUUACUUUCAAUAUUCAUCUUAACCACUUCCUCACAUUUAUUUUUUGCAAUAUAUCUGAGACAAUUUCACUUUAUUGUUAACAUUUUAUGAUACACUUUUUGCCACUGUAAAAAUCCCAGGAUAAAGGAGGGGUGGGUUUAAUGCCAGGAAACCUAAACUGUACUCUUGGCAAAAUUCACUUGUCACUGCUGAUCAUAUGGUUCACUGACUCUCACUAUGCUUGUAUCUCAGGAUUCCUUAACCCAUCAUCCAUGGAUGUAUAUCAGGGGCUGAGGUGUGUCCAUAAAUUUGGAAAGGAAAAGGAAUAUAUCAUUAUUUUCAGUACUCAACUUUCUAUCUGUGGGAUAAAGAACAAAUGCCAGUCAUUUGAAAAAUCAAGAAACAUUGGAAGUGAUAAAGUGACUCAUUUUCUAAAACUAUAACCUACAGGUAUGAGUCUGCACCUGGUUAUCCUUUCCCUCAGAGCCUAGAGUCUCACAUGUCAUAGAAGCUUUUGUUUUUAAAAUGUAUUUUUUGGUUCUUGUUUUAUCUUGCAUAUAGAACAUCCAAUUGACUGUCCCUUUUUCCCAUACAGAAUUCUUCUAUUCUUCAGCUACUUUGUCUUUAAGACUCUUUAUUACUCUUGUAUCUUUUGGCAAGUUCCUUUAUAUCUCUGGACCAACUUUGCUGAUGUGUGAAGCCAGAAUUGGGAUGUAUUUUAUUUAUUUAUUUGACAUAUUAUAUUUAAAUCUAGUGAACUAUAACUGUGUAACACUCUCCAAGUUGUUCUACUCUAAGCAAAAAUACAGAAUGUAAACCUCCAGGGCAGGAUAAGGGUCAAUCAUCCUUCUAUUUAUUUUUUCCCAAUCUACAUUCCCCAGUUCAUCCCUCUUUUGAGGGAUGGAUUCAGCGAGAAGAUGAAUGAUGGAUAGAUAGAGGGUGAUUUAAGUUCUUGUUUCAAACCUUGGUUGAAAGAGUAUUACCACUAUCACACCAUCUUCCAAUAUUACUAAGGAUAGAGUUAAGGAUAACUCAGGUUUCUUGCUUGAAUUAUAAAGAUAUUUUCUUACCCCUGUACCCUAUUUUUUUUGCAUCAGGUACUCAGAUUUGAAUAUUAGCUCACUAGGAGAUGAAUAUAAAUAACAUGUCUAAGGUUAUCUGUCUUAAAAGUAAAUAAGAAGAGGCAGAGAAGAGAUAUGUCAGAAGUAUAAUCUCUCUAUACUAAAACUAUAUAUUUAUAAAACCUGAAUAUAUUAAAUUUUAGACUAGAAUAAAUGAUAUGGGGCAUUAUAGAGAAAUUCUUAU
ensembl:lncRNA